rnacentral:rRNA from 3 species
GCUAUGCCCGAUCUCGUCUGAGUUUCUUUCCUACUUAUAUAAUGUACUGGCGAUUAGAUUGGCUGGUCUUUAAAUAGCCCUCUCUUUGCAGCAGUCUUC